rnacentral:misc_RNA from 1 species
UAACUCUCAGCCCCUUGGGGUUGGACUUUGGACGUUGCGGGAGGCCCUUCCGCUCGUCUCAAAAGCAUUAGCGGGGGUUCGGGCACCGACCCAUUGCUGGCGUUUAGUAAUGCUUGCGCCGCGCGGGGCUUUCACCGCCUUUUCCCGCUGACCAGCGGACGCCACGGCGUCGAACUUGAC